GGAAAAGUUCUUUUUGCGGCACCCUCACGCCUUCCCAGCCCUUUCGCGGUUUACUCGCUCCCCGGAAAGCAGAAAUGAAAAGAGGCUUGCUCAUGACUUGGAAGCGGUGGGCUGAGGCCUCCCAAGACCAUCUGGCUUGUUCCAUUGCCAGCCAGAGUGGAGGCGACAUUCACACGAACCCAGGAGCUGCAGGGGCGCGUGAGCUACAGCUGCCUUGUGGCAUCCAAGGAGUGCGCAACUAGUCUCACUCUGUUGCCCAGGCUGGAGUGCAGUGGCGCGAUCUCAGCUUACUUCAGCCUCCGCCUCCCGGUUUCAAGUGAAUUCUCCAGCCUCAACUUCACAAGUAGCUGGGAUUACAGGGCAUUCAAGCAGCCCUGAGGAGAGGUCCACAUGGUGAGCCACUGAGGGCCUUGCCAAGAGCCAGCACCAACGGUCCAGGUUUGGAGUGUACCACCUUGGAAGUGAAUCUUCCAGUCCAGUCAAGCCUUCAGAUGACUUCAGAACCGUCCAUGUAAGCCACUCUUGGAUUCCUGACCCACAGAAACUGUUGGAGGCAUUAUCAACAGUUUCUAACAUCACAGACAGACAAACAUGUGCCUCCUGAUUGAAAAAACAGAACAUCACCUGUAGUCUUGCCAGUGAGAUCAAACUGAAGUCCAAUUAACCUCUGGAUCCAGCUGCCAAUUUGCAGGAAAUAGAGGAGAGAAGCAUCUGUUGAACUGCACCAUGAGUAUACACUCAGCAAAGGCCAAACUGUGGAAAAUGAUACAGGUCAAACAGCCUGGAUUCUUUAACAGUAAGUGAUGUUUCUGAAGCACCAAUGAAAAUGAAGUCCUGAAGUCCUGUGCUCAAUAUGAAAUGUUGGAAGUUAGAAGAAAAAAACAAAACUUGGAUCCAAUCUCAAGGCACUUUUUGUUUAAUGGGAAGAAGUGGAUUAUUUUAAAAGCUACAAAUAAAGUUACAUAAAAGUA
rnacentral:lncRNA from 1 species